GGAAGGGGGAGGGUGAGCGAACGGCUGUGUGGUGUUUAGCUGCCAGCCGGGUUAAACCACAACAAACAGCGAUGUAGACUUGGCUCAUAUUUCACCUUCAGAUGUAGUUGGUGAUAUAUCUGGAUGCAUAAGCAUAUGCCAGUUGUAUGUGUUGCAGGGAAGAAAGAAUGAGCAUAAGAAAGGUGUACAGAUGGCCAAGGCAUUUCAACUCAGUUACUUCUUUGGCUUAUCGGUAGAAGUCCAUGCUCUUGAGGCUGGAGGUCAUCAAUUCUAUUUAUAAUGCUGAAUGCAUAAUAUUGCCUGACAAUCUUGCUGUUCAGAGAUGGACACAGAUCAUUACAAUGAUCCUACACAGUAAAAUGUGUCCCCGAGCAGCUGGUACCCCUGCCAUCCCCCAGCCAGCCACCCCACAGUACUUGUCCAGCAUGACACCAUAUGGUACGGAAUACACCUUUGGCCAGUUGGGGUCAGCUGUCCUGCUUCUGUCCUCUCCCAGCUCCUCCUGCAUGCCCAGCCUCCUCGCUGGCAGGGCAGUGUGAGAAGCUGACAAGUCCUUGACUCAGUGUAAGCACUGCUCUUCAACAAUUCAAACAAGUAGGAGAUCUUUCUUCUCAGAAAGAGCGGUCAGGCAUUGGAACGGGUUGCCCAGGGAAGUGGUGGAGUCACCGUCCCUGGGGGUGUUCAAGGAAAGGUUGGACCUGGUGCGUAGGGACACGGUUUAGUGGGUGAUAUUGGUAGCACGGUCAUGGUUGGAACAGAUGAUCUUGGAGGUCUUUUCCAACCUUAACGUUUCCAUGACUCUGCAGUUACACUGACCAGAGGCUAGAGCCUGAGCUGGAAAAGGUCAUGUGGAACAUGCGGACCAAGGUAGAUAAGGCUGCGAUUUGCUAGGUCCUGCAUUUUUGCCACCUAACCCAACCCAUAAAAGUGGCCUAAAAGAAAGCCGGAGAGGGACUCUGUCAGGGAGUGUAGCCAUGGAACAAGGGAUAACAGCUUUGAAGAGAUGGAGAGGAGAUUUAGAUUAGAUGUGACGUGGUGAAGAAAUUCUUCACUCGGAGCACAAGCGCACAUGGGAAUUAGGGCUGAAGAUGCACCUUGCUUCUCUUCUUUUCCAUAAAGAAUAGAACGAAAUUACCUAAAAAACAGUGUUAAAAAUAAACCUAAGGCACAGGAUGGGAGGUGCA
ensembl:lncRNA